CCUACGGGAGUCAGCAGUGGGGAAUAUUGGUCAAUGGGGGGAACCCUGAUCCAGCGACGCCGCGUGAGUGAAGAAGUAUUUCGGUAUGUAAAGCUCCAUCAGCAGGGAAGAAAAUGACGGUACCUGACUAAGAAGCCCCGUCUAACUACGUGCCAGCAGCCGCGGUAAUACGGAGGGGGCAAGCGUUAUCCGGAUUUACCGGGGGUAAAGGGAGCGUAGACGGUGCAGCAAGUCUGAUGUGAAAGGGCGGGGCCCAACCCCGGGACUGCAUGGGAAACUGUUGAACUGGAGUACAGGAGAGGUAGGCGGAAUUCGUGGUGUAGCGGUGAAAUGCGUAGAUAUUAGGAGGAACACCGAGGGCGAAGGCGGCUUACUGGACUGUAACUGACGUUGAGGCUCGAAAGCGUGGGGAGCAAACAGGAUUAGAUACCCUGGUAGUC
rnacentral:rRNA from 1 species